rnacentral:rRNA from 1 species
UGGGGAAUAUUGCACAAUGGGCGCAAGCCUGAUGCAGCCAUGCCGCGUGUGUGAAGAAGGCCUUCGGGUUGUAAAGCACUUUCAGCGGGGAGGAAGGCGUUAAGGUUAAUAACCUUGGCGAUUGACGUUACCCGCAGAAGAAGCACCGGCUAACUCCGUGCCAGCAGCCGCGGUAAUACGGAGGGUGCAAGCGUUAAUCGGAAUUACUGGGCGUAAAGCGCACGCAGGCGGUCUGUCAAGUCGGAUGUGAAAUCCCCGGGCUCAACCUGGGAACUGCAUUCGAAACUGGCAGGCUAGAGUCUUGUAGAGGGGGGUAGAAUUCCAGGUGUAGCGGUGAAAUGCGUAGAGAUCUGGAGGAAUACCGGUGGCGAAGGCGGCCCCCUGGACAAAGACUGACGCUCAGGUGCGAAAGCGUGGGGAGCAAAC